rnacentral:rRNA from 1 species
CCAAUAGCGUAUAUUAAAGUUGCUGCAGUUAAAAAGCUCGUAGUUGAAUUUCGGGACCGAUAUGUCGGUCGUGCCUCGGUACGUACUGGUAUUUUCGGUUUCUCCCUUCUGACGAACCUUGAUGUCAUUAAUUUGGUGUCUUGGGGAAUCAGGACUGUUACUUUGAAAAAAUUAGAGUGUUUAAAGCAGGCUCACGCUUGAAUACAUUAGCAUGGAAUAAUGAAAUAGGACGUUUGAUUCUAUUUUGUUGGUUUCUAGGAUCGACGUAAUGAUUAAUAGGGAUAGUUGGGGGCAUUAGUAUUCAAUUGUCAGAGGUGAAAUUCUUGGAUUUAUUGAAGACUAACUACUGCGAAAGCAUUUGCCAAGGAUGUUUCCAUUAAUCAAGAACGAAAGUUAGGGGAUCGAAGACGAUCAGAUACCGUCGUAGUCUUAACCAUAAACUAUGCCGACUAGGGAUCGGAUGAUGUUAAUUUUUUAAUGACUCAUUCGGCGCCUUACG